rnacentral:rRNA from 1 species
AUUGAACGCUGGCGGCAGGCCUAACACAUGCAAGUCGAGCGGAUGAUGGGAGCUUGCUCCUGGAUUCAGCGGCGGACGGGUGAGUAAUGCCUAGGAAUCUGCCUGGUAGUGGGGGACAACGUUUCGAAAGGAACGCUAAUACCGCAUACGUCCUACGAGAGCAAGCAGGGGACCUGCGGGCCUUGCGCUAUCAGAUGAGCCUAGGUCGGAUUAGCUUGUUGGUGAGGUAAUGGCGCACCAAGGCGACGAUCCGUAACUGGUCUGAGAGGAUGAUCAGUCACACUGGAACUGAGACACGGUCCAGACUCCUACGGGAGGCAGCAGUGGGGAAUAUUGGACAAUGGGCGAAAGCCUGAUCCAGCCAUGCCGCGUGUGUGAAGAAGGUCUUCGGAUUGUAAAGCACUUUAAGUUGGGAGGAAGGGUUGUAGAUUAAUACUCUGCAAUUUUGACGUUACCGACAGAAUAAGCACCGGCUAACUCUGUGCCAGCCGCCGCAGUAAUAC